CCUACGGGGGGCAGCAGUGAGGAAUAUUGGUCAAUGGACGAGAGUCUGAACCAGCCAAGUAGCGUGAAGGAUGACUGCCCUAUGGGUUGUAAACUUCUUUUAUAUGGGAAUAAAAUGUUCCACGUGUGGGAUUUUGUAUGUACCAUAUGAAUAAGGAUCGGCUAACUCCGUGCCAGCAGCCGCGGUAAUACGGAGGAUCCGAGCGUUAGCCGGAUUUAUUGGGUUUAAAGGGAGCGUAGGUGGAUUGUUAAGUCAGUUGUGAAAGUUUGCGGCUCAACCGUAAAAUUGCAGUUGAAACUGGCAGUCUUGAGUACAGUAGAGGUGGGCGGAAUUCGUGGUGUAGCGGUGAAAUGCUUAGAUAUCACGAAGAACUCCGAUUGCGAAGGCAGUUCACUGGACUGCAACUGACACUGAGGCUCGAAAGUGUGGGUAUCAAACAGGAUUAGAUACCCGAGUAGUC
rnacentral:rRNA from 1 species